rnacentral:misc_RNA from 1 species
GAUGAAGAACGUAGUGAAAUGCGAUACUUGGUGUGAAUUGCAGAAUCCCGUGAACCAUCGAGUCUUUGAACGCAAGUUGCGCCCGAAGCCACUAGGCCGAGGGCACGCCUGCCUGGGCGUCACACGCCGUUGCCCCCCCAUCUACUCCUUCGGGAUUGCGGGGGGGCGGAUGAUGGCCUCCCGUGCGCCUAGCCGCGCGGUUGGCAUAAAUACCAAGUCCUCGGCGACGCACGCCACGACAAUCGGUGGUUGCGAAACCUCGGUUGCCCGUCGUGUGCGGUCGUCGCGCAUCGAGGGCUCGAAAAAAUUGCCGGGCUCCGGCUCGGCUUUCAACGCGACCCCAGGUCAGGCGGGGUUACCCGCUGAAUUUAAGCAUAUCAAUAACGGAGGA